GGGAGGAGAGUAUGUAAAAGUGAUCCAGGAAGUAAAGGAGCAAGCUCAGGGUUCGCGUCUGCUUCACAUUUUGAGAAAUAAUGUUUUAAGUGGAUCCUGAACAAUUCUGUGGGAGAGGACAGAAUAGGUGGUAAGACUGUAAUUCCAGAGAGGAUCCUGCCACAUAUGCAGAAGGAAGGAACGCCGCUCGGAGAGGCCAAGAAGAAUCCGGACAGACGGGCCCUGCGGAGUCCCCUCUCGGCCUAUCAGCAUUAGAUCACAUCCUCCUUGUCCAAACGUGUCUCCACACAGCUGUCCGCCCUGUGUUGAACCUAAGCAUAAACACUUGCAGCUUCUCUUGUGUUUUUGGUUCUUCAUUCUGAAGGCUCCUAUGUCUCAUCAAACUAUGAUCAAAUACAUCUGUACGCUUUUUCUCCUAAAAGAAUAAAAACAAAAACAUG